UGUAGACAGAUAACAUGGCAGGUUGUCAUGGUAACCCUGGGUUAGACUGACCCUGGUCCUGGAGGGGUGGGCAAGCAGGACAGACCCUGGAAUAACCUGGGACCCCUCAAGACUAGACGGGACCAAAUUCACAACGGCCGGGAACCGAGCAAUUCUUUUUUUGGUUGUUGCUAAGCCGUCCCUAAAAAAUAUGGCCCAAAUUUUAGCGAAUGGACCCGUGGAAUCUACAGUGGAAACCGAUGCCCGCCGGGAGACUGGACGUGAGAUGGACUAUUGGAUUAAAAACAGAAAGAGUGGCCAAAAAAGGGUUUAGAGAAAAACUAAUGAAGGGGUAUAAAAAAAAGAAACAUUCGUUAAAUAAAA